CGAAGAUUAGCUCAGUUGGUUAGAGCACAAGAUUUUGGGACUUGAUGUGGUCGGUUCAAAUCCGACAUCUCCGC
rnacentral:tRNA from 1 species